GACGAACGCUGGCGGCGUGCCUAAUACAUGCAAGUCGAGCGAACAGGCGCCUACCUUGCUCCUCUGACGGUAGCGGCGGCCAGGGGAGUAACAACUCGUUAACCUCCCUAUAACACUUGGAUGACUACGGGAAGCCGGUGCUACUAACGCAUAAUAUAUUGAACCUGAUGGUUCAUGAGUCUGGGACGGUUUUUCUGUCACUUAUAGAUGGACCCGCGCCGCAUUAGCUAGUUGGUAAGGUAACGGCGUACCAAGGCAGCGAUGCGUAGCCGACCUGAGAGGGUGAUCGACGACCACGGAGGGGAGACGAGGCCGAGAAGCCUACGGGAGGCAGCAGUAGGGAAGAUUACGCAAUGGGCGAAAGAAUGAUGGAGCAACGACGCGUGAGUGAUGAAGGUCGUCGUAUCGUAAUAAUCUGUUAUUAGGGAAGAAGAAAUGUGGCAGUAACUAUGCACGUCUUGACGGUACCUGGUUAGAAAGCCACGGCUAACUACGUG
rnacentral:rRNA from 1 species